UAUCUCUGUAGAGUCUGCAUAUCAAUAAGCGGAGGAAAAGAAACUAACAUAGGAUUCCCUCAGUAACGGCGAGUGAAGCGGGAAGAGCUCAAAUUUGAAAUCUUCAAGGUUCUACCUUGACGAAUUGUAGUUUAAAGAAGUGUUUUCUGUUAGUAAGUUGGCUAAAAGUUCUUUGGAAUAGGACAUCAUAGAGGGUGAGAAUCCCGUAUUUGGUCAUUCCUUCUAGCGUUGUGAUACACUUUCAACGAGUCGGAUUGUUUGGGAAUGCAGUCCAAAAUGGGUGGUAAAUUUCAUCUAAAGCUAAAUACUGGCGAGAGACCGAUAGCGAACAAGUACCGUGAGGGAAAGAUGAAAAGAACUUUGAAAAGAGAGUUAAACAGUACGUGAAAUUGUCAAAAGGGAAGCGUUUGACACCAGUGUUGUUUUCUCGAAAAUCAAUUAAAAAUGGCAGGAUUUUGUGUUGUAUUGACUUUAUCAGCUUUCUGCACUUUUUUCUUGUCUUUUUUAAUGCACUUUUCGUUUAACAAGUCAACAUCAAUUUCUUUUGUUGUAAAAGGGUCAUUGGAAGGUGGCUUUCUUUUCGGAGAAAGUGUUUAUAGCCUUUGGCUUCUGCAAUCGGAGAGAUUGAGGUCUGCAGCGUAGAUCCUUCGGGGUUAGAUACAUUUGUGCUAAGUUAUAGCCUUUCAUAGACAACUUGUUGACUAUGAUCAGUCAUGUAGCUUACUCGCUUAUGCUAUUUUACCUACGCUUAGGAUGUUGAGUAGCGACAUACGCAC
rnacentral:rRNA from 1 species